rnacentral:lncRNA from 1 species
GCAUCUUUUUUUUACAGAUGACUGACUGUCUUUUGAUUGAUCGGGCUUCAGUCCAAAAUAUGAGACUUUUGCUUCUAUCAUCGAGACCUACAGUCAAACUUCAGGCCAGCUGGUGAAGCUGUAGAAGUCCACGGUUAUCUUUAAUCCCAAGAUGAAGAUCUAGUGAAGUAGAUAAUUCAGGAGAGGCUGGGGAUCCAGG